rnacentral:rRNA from 1 species
UACAGAGGUCUCAAGCGUUGUUCGGAUUCAUUGGGCGUAAAGGGUGCGUAGGUGGCGCGCUAAGUCGGGUGUGAAAUUUCGGGGCUUAACUCCGAAACUGCAUUCGAUACUGCCGUGCUUGAGGACUGGAGAGGAGACUGGAAUUUACGGUGUAGCGGUGAAAUGCGUAGAUAUCGUAAGGAAGACCAGUGGCGAAGGCGGGUCUCUGGACAGUUCCUGACGCUGAGGCACGAAGGUCAGGGGAGCAAACGGG